rnacentral:rRNA from 1 species
CAGGGUAUUGCCUUAGUAACGGCGAGUGAAGCGGCAAAAGCUCAAAUUUGAAAUCUGGCACCUUCGGUGUCCGAGUUGUAAUUUGAAGAAGGUAACUUUGGAGUUGGCUCUUGUCUAUGUUCCUUGGAACAGGACGUCACAGAGGGUGAGAAUCCCGUGCGAUGAGAUGCCCAAUUCUAUGUAAAGUGCUUUCGAAGAGUCGAGUUGUUUGGGAAUGCAGCUCUAAGUGGGUGGUAAAUUCCAUCUAAAGCUAAAUAUUGGCGAGAGACCGAUAGCGAACAAGUACAGUGAUGGAAAGAUGAAAAGAACUUUGAAAAGAGAGUGAAAAAGUACGUGAAAUUGUUGAAAGGGAAGGGCUUGAGAUCAGACUUGGUAUUUUGCGAUCCUUUCCUUCUUGGUUGGGUUCCUCGCAGCUUACUGGGCCAGCAUCGGUUUGGAUGGUAGGAUAAUGACUAAGGAAUGUGGCUCUACUUCGGUGGAGUGUUAUAGCCUUGGUUGAUACUGCCUGUCUAGACCGAGGACUGCGUCUUUUGACUAGGAUGUUGGCAUAAUGAUCUUAAGCCACCCGUCUUGAA